UACAAGAAGAGCCGAAUCCCUCCCCCCCCUCUCCUCUCUCCUCUCAAGUCUUAUAUUGUAAGGGUUCAUGUACAAACCAUCAGAGACAUCAAGCUUUUGAUGUUGACUUUCCAAGUAAUUAAAGAAAGGAAUUCUUGAUUAUUUACAAUAAUAAUCAAAAGGUAUGUAAACCCUAAUCCUUGUAAUUUCUAUUAUAGUAAGAUUAUCUUAGGGGGUGUUUGAUAUAGAGAAUUUAGAGCAGAGAAAUGGAAUGUAUUCCACUUCUCUUGUUUGGUUAGUGUUAAAAAAGGAGAGAAAAUGAAAUAAGUUAAUUCGAUUUCCAUCCUAUUAAUUCUCUUUUUUUUUAUAAAGAAAUGGUGAGAAAAAGCAAUCGAGAAAACAAAAUAAAAAGGCGGAGAAAUAAAAGACGUCGUGACUUCGAACCUCCUCCGUGUGCUCCCUAUUUUUGGUCAAUGAUAAUCUUCAUCUACUGAAGAAAUCGAUAUCUCCAUAGCUUCUACUUCUCGAUUUCAAGCUUCAACAAAUAUCCAAUACUGCUUCUCGAUUUCUAGCUUCAACAAAUAUCGACGGCUUCGGUGUCGAUCGCCUUAUCCCCGAUUUCUUUGUGUUUCGAUUUUGCAAACCUAAUUCAAGUCAUAGGUAAUUAUUGGAUUUUUACUUUGAAUGAUAUAUGAUUCUUAAUCAAUUUAUUAUUUUGAUUAUUUGGUCGAUUUAUGUAUAAAUAAAAUAAGAAUUGAACAUCCCAUCUAACCUCUCAAAUUGAAAUUAUAACAAAGUGAUUUGUGAAUGUAUUUUGAUCAGAAUCUGACCGCAAGGAACAUAUGAAUCUGCUAUUUAACUUUUUAGAUUUCCAUGUAUUAGUAUUGUGGAGAAAAUAGGGAUUAUUAUUGGUUUUUGUUUCAUUAUUUUGUAAAUUAUUUGCCAUUACUUUGAAGUCAUAACCUCAUACGGUCUUCGAACAAGUUGAGUUUUUUCCCAGAUUGUUGUCAUUUGUAUUGGCUUCAUUAUAGGAUAAAAAAACAGCUUAGUUGGUUAAGAAUCGAUCAACUUACAUAGCUAUAAACAGGUGGUGCUAGAGUUGUUAGUUUUUGUUCAACAUUUUGUAAAAUUUAGCCCAACUUUGAAAAGUCAUAAAUUCCUCAUACAACCUUACAAUAUCUGACCUUUUUUCCCAUAUUGUAGUCCUCUGUAUUGGCCUUAUUUUAUGCUAAAAAAUAUCUUAAUUGGGUAAGAACUUAUUGACUUACACAACCCUAAACAUGGGCUGUUAGAGUUGUUUUUUUAUCAGCAUUUUGUAAAAUUUUAGCCCGACUUUAAACAACCAUAAAUUUCUCAUACGACCUCGGGACGAGCUGCUCAUAUUUUAGUCCUAUAUCGUGGCUUCGUUUUAGGAUUAAAAAUAUCUUAAUUGGUUAGGAAUUGACGAACUUACGUAGUCCUAAACAUGGUUUGUUAGAGCUAUUCAGUUUUUUGUGUUUUGUUUUUUUAUUUUUUUGGUGCAGAAGUUGAAAUUCUUAACUGAGACAGCGGGACAAAUACAAGUGGAUUCGGUUGGGAUACAGCUAAAUGAUGCGUUACUGCUAAUGUUGAAGUUAAGGCGAUUGAUAUAUUUAGAAAAUAUCAAUUCCACGCCCGAUCAUUUUUUUAAGAUGACGGAGUUGUUACGUGAAAAUAAUUGCGAAUGGCUCAAUAGCAUGAUUAGACUAUUUUAAGUUCUGUUUUUUUAGUUGUUACGAAUACUAAAUUUGACUUAUUGCACAUUCAUUAUUGGGUAUAGUUUUUAAAUAGUAUGAUUUUCAUAUUUCUUUA
rnacentral:lncRNA from 1 species